rnacentral:rRNA from 1 species
CGGGUGCGUCGCAGCCCCGGAACCAGGCGCCCGCCGGAGGAACCAACCAAACUCUUUCUGUAGUCCCCUCGCGGACGUAUUUCUUACAGCUCUGAGCAAAAAUUCAAAAUGAAUCAAAACUUUCAACAACGGAUCUCUUGGUUCUGGCAUCGAUGAAGAACGCAGCGAAAUGCGAUAAGUAAUGUGAAUUGCAGAAUUCAGUGAAUCAUCGAAUCUUUGAACGCACAUUGCGCCCGCCAGUAUUCUGGCGGGCAUGCCUGUCCGAGCGUCAUUUCAACCCUCGAACCCCUCCGGGGGAUCGGCGUUGGGGAUCGGGACCCCUCACACGGGUGCCGGCCCCGAAAUACAGUGGCGGUCUCGCCGCAGCCUCUCCUGCGCAGUAGUUUGCACAACUCGCACCGGGAGCGCGGCGCGUCCACGUCCGUAAAACACCCAACUUUCUGAAAUGUUGACCUCGGAUCAGGUAGGAAUACCCGCUGAACUUAAGCAUAUCAAUAAGCGGAGGGAAAGAAACCAACCUA